CUAGAAGUCCUGACUCGGGUGGGAGACAUUUGACCAAGCCCACUUCUGCAUAAAGCAGUCUCCGAAUUCAGUCACAAGUUUUCCCUCAUCGAGCUUUGCGAGCUGGCAAGCAACGGAUGUACAAAUCUUAAGUUUGCAACUUGAGGAAUUGUCACAAAUGAACGUACCUAUGUAAUGAGGACCCCAAUGAAAAAGCAGAUGACCAGCACCUGAGAAGUACCACCCCCCACCAGUGACUAUCCCACCCAAAGCUUUCUUCUCAAGUAGUCUGCUGACCCUGUGAUCUUAAGUUCUUCCUGGACACUUCUGGCUCAUCAGUUAUGUGAAAGUGAUUUGCUUUCUUGGAAGAGAGGAUGUAUUACUUCCUUACUACAGGAAACUGUUGAACAAGAAAUAAAGAGGACUCUACUAAAGGGAA